rnacentral:rRNA from 1 species
AUGAGGUGUGUUGGAAGCAUUCUUCUGGUGAUUGUGCUCUCGUUUUCUUCUCUGGCCUUCUCCAAUGCCGCAAUAAACAUGGAGCACUUAAACGAAAACCCGAUGUCGCUAAUGGGUAGGAAAUGGUUGGGAGGACGGAGGGCAAUUGUCGCUUCGGUAAAUGAAGGUGUACACAAAAAGGAUGAGUUUGUGGGAAGCAAGGUAGCUGCAGAGGUUAGCGUUGUCUGUUUAAGUAAAGAAAUUGUUGUCCAAAUACAUGGCGGCACACGGAGGCGAACUUACCGCACUCCGAGAGUUCAUCCAGCAAAGAAAGACUGA